rnacentral:lncRNA from 1 species
UUUGAUUCAUUUUUGUAACUUCUCUUCUGUAAACUCUCCUAUUCUCUCAAUAAAACUCUCCAACUCGAAACUUUUUCUGACAUAGAGUUUCUUGUUCAUUGCAAUUCUUCGAAUUUUAAAGUAAUUCCUAGAAUUUCCAUAUCAAUUACUAUCACGGGCUUCUUCUUUUCUAGGAAGACUGACAGAACCUACACAAACAUAAACAACAUUGAAAGAAGUACAAGAGAGUCUAGAACAUUGAAUGGUGUAUAAAUUGAGAAACACAUGUUGGAACUUGUGGGUGAAAAUUCAAAAGACACUAAGAGAAUCAUUGAGGAAUACAAUAGAGGAACUUAUGAAAAGGAAGAAGCAAGAUUUAUAAAGAUCCCC